GUGAGGAAUAUUGGUCAAUGGGCGAGAGCCUGAACCAGCCAAGUCGCGUGAAGGAAGAAGGAUCUAUGGUUCGUAAACUUCUUUUGCAGGGGAAUAAAGUGCGGGACGUGUCCUGUUUUGUAUGUACCCUGAGAAUAAGGAUCGGCUAACUCCGUGCCAGCAGCCGCGGUAAUACGGAGGAUCCGAGCGUUAUCCGGAUUUAUUGGGUUUAAAGGGUGCGUAGGUGGUUUGAUAAGUCAGCGGUGAAAGUUUGCAGCUUAACUGUAAAAAUGCCGUUGAAACUGUCGGACUUGAGUGUAAAUGAGGUAGGCGGAAUGCGUGGUGUAGCGGUGAAAUGCAUAGAUAUCACGCAGAACUCCGAUUGCUAAGGCAGCUUACUAAGCUACAACUGACACUGAAGCACGAAAGCGUGGGGAUCAAACAGGAUUAGAAACCCCAGUAGUCC
rnacentral:rRNA from 1 species